rnacentral:rRNA from 1 species
UACGAAGGGGGCUAGCGUUGUUCGGAAUUACUGAGCGUAAAGCGCACGUAGGCGGGUUGUUAAGUCAGGGGUGAAAUCCUGGAGCUCAACUCCAGAACUGCCUUUGAUACUGGCAACCUAGAGGCUGGAAGAGGUUAGUGGAAUUCCCAGUGUAGAGGUGAAAUUCGUAGAUAUUGGGAAGAACACCAGUGGCGAAGGCGGCUAACUGGUCCAGAUCUGACGCUGAGGUGCGAAAGCGUGGGGAGCAAACAGG